rnacentral:tRNA from 1 species
GCCGUGGUGGCAGAGUGGCCCAACGCACCUGCCCGCAGAGCAGGUCAACAUCGGUUCGAAUCCGAUCCGCGGCU